UAGCCUCUCUCCCUCAACGGCUACAACAAGUUAGCCUCUCUCCCUCAACGGCUACAACAGGUUAGCCUCUCUCCGUUAGCCUCUCUCCCUCAACGGCUACAACAGGUUAGCCUCUCUCCGUUAGCCUCUCUCCCUCAACGGCUACAACAGGUUAGCCUCUCUCCGUUAGCCUCUCUCCCUCAACGGCUACAACAGGUUAGCCUCUCUCCGUUAGCCUCUCUCCCUCAACGGCUUCAACAGGUUAGCCUUUCUCCGUUAGCCUCUCUCCCUCAACGGCUACAACAAGUUAGCCUCUCUCCCUCAACGGCUACAACAGGUUAGCCUCUCUCCGUUAGCCUCUCUCCCUCAACGGCUACAACAGGUUAGCCUCUCUCCGUUAGCCUCUCUCCCUCAACGGCUACAACAGGUUAGCCUCUCUCCGUUAGCCUCUCUCCCUCAACGGCUACAACAGGUUAGCCUCUCUCCGUUAGCCUCUCUCCCUCAACGGCUACAACAGGUUAGCCUCUCUCCGUUAGCCUCUCUCCCUCAAC